rnacentral:rRNA from 1 species
AAGCUUAAAAUCUCCAUGCAAUUUUUGCAUGGCGAAUUGUAGUCUAUAGAGGCGUGAUCAGUGUGAGCACUUUGGGCAAGUUCCUUGGAAGAGGACAGCAUGGAGGGUGAUACUCCCGUUCAUCCCAAAGUUGCUUAUGCGUACGAUCCGUUUUCUUUGAGUCGCGUUGUUUGAGAAUGCAGCGCAAAGUAGGUGGUAAAUUCCAUCUAAAGCUAAAUAUUGGUGCGAGACCGAUAGCAAACAAGUACCGUGAGGGAAAGAUGAAAAGAACUUUGAAAAUAGAGUUAAAGAGUACCUGAAACUGCUGAAAGGUAACCAAAUCGUUUCCAGUGUCUAUAAUCCGUGGUAUAUUUCAUCGACGAGCGUGUUCGUGUGUGUGCUGUUGCAGUUUCCUUUUGGUUACGCUCGGCGUGUAUGCUGUUUAUGCUUGUUGGUGCCCUGUGCUGCGGUGGGACGGUCAAGGUCAAUUCGUAUGCUGCGAGAAAUGACUAUCGAGGAGGUAGGGCUUACCGCUUGCGUUUGUCUGUUAUAUCUUGGUAGACGAGUCGUCGCGGUUGGGAUUGAGGUGCCUACAACGUGCUUUUGAGUGGGCAUGGGUCUCUGUGUGCGCCGUAUGCGGAUAGCUUGCUAUGUGUGUGU